UUCUUUUCAUCUAUAUGGUCGAGAAACGAUUGUCCAAAACUGCCAGUCUGUUUCCUGACAUGCGAAGGAUCAACGUCAUAGAAUAUCGGCAAAACUAAUUGCCCCCGAUUUCUUCUACACUCCAUGAUCUUAACCAGCUCCUCGAGGCACCAGCUGGAGUUCGCAUACCGUCUAGAGAAGACGAUGAUAGAGAUCUUAGAACCUUGGAUUGCCCGCUCAAAUGCGGUUGUUAAUUCUUCUCCCUUUUUCAGUUCUUCGUCGUCAAUAAAAGCAUUGAUUCCAGCCUUUGUUAAUGCUUCAUAGAGGUGGCCCGUGAAGUUUUUACGUGUGUCUCCGCCUCUGAAGCUUAUGAACACAUCGUAGAGCGAACCUUUUGAGAAGGAGGACGAGGACAAGGAGGCGGAGAAGGACGAUGAGGAUGAGGAUGAGGGCAAGGAUGUGGAGGAGGUAGAGGAGGAAGAUGAGGAUGAGGAUGAGGGCGAGGAUGCGGAGGAGGACGAUGAGGAUGAGGGCAAGGAGGAGGAGGAUGACGAGGCUUUAUCGGGGACUGAGACAUUCAUUUGGCGAAAGACGAGGCCGAGGGAGCAGAGGAGGAAGAUGAGGACAUCAAAGACAAGACCGGAAUUGCGAGCCGCAAAGUGGUAGGACACUAACACCAGCACCGGAGUUAACAGCUUCCCUAAGCUCGACCAGGGAUCCAUUUCCUUCAUUUUCUUUAGGCAAAUUGAAGGUUUUUGGCGAUAUUGAUUUUCCCAUUUCCCUCAGCCUUUCCCUUUUUCCUUUACUUUUUUCUUCAUUUUUGGCGAGUUUCCUUCGCUUCUGGUCAAUAAUGCGCGUCAAUCAUGUGCGUUUUCAUACAGUACAUGCGUCCAUGUUUUUUUUUUCCUUUUUCUUGGUAGUUGUGCCGAGUGAAAGGCAGAUUUUAUACUAUAUAUUAUUUUCAAUUCUUGAUAUACUUUUAUUAUUAUUUUGAUGAGAUUUAGAUGUUUUGUUAUGUAUUUUUAAUGUAAGACAAUUAUGCACGUUAAUUAUGUGCGUUUUCGUACCUUUUUAAAGGAGUAGGAUUAUCUGGUCUCUUUUUGUCUCUCUACUUCUCUCUCUUUCUAUUUAAACGGUCACGGUUAAAUCUCGUUAACAUCUUAUAUUAAUUUUUUAUAAAAAAAGAUAAGAUAAAAAAUAUGAGAUGAUGGAAUGGAAAGAAGAAAUGAGAGAAUUCUAAUCUAUUUUUACAGUUUACAUGCGUCCGUGAUUUUUUUUUCCUUUUUCUUGGUUGUUGUGCCGAGACUGCCCUCCAGCUGGAAAUAAGGAGGAGACAGAGAAAUAAGAACUGCCACUAGGUUGGUGAAACAGUGUCAAGCAUUUUCGUUGGACGGAGGACUAUGCAUGUCGGGUUGGAUCGCCAAAUGGAAGGGCAAAAUUUAUAACCAAGCGGACAAUUUUUUUUUUCAACAAAUAAUAUUAUCGGGAAAAUCUCAUAAUAAGCUAAUAAUAAUAUGAUUCAAACUUUUAUUCUUACUUUUUGUUCUAAAUACUUAUUACAAUCAUGAAAAAUAAAAUAGUAGUUUAAAUUUGACAUCAGAGAAAGUGCUACGAACAGACAAAAAAACACAAUCAGAGAAAUUGCUACGAACAAACAAAAAAACACAAUCAGAGAAACUGCAACGAACAAACAAAAAAACACAAUUAGAAGGUGGUUUAAAUUUGGCGCAAUUGAUUGAAGACUUUGACUUGUGGUUCUACACCCUAAAUUCUACAAGGCGCCCUUUUUUUCCACUAUAACACCAAAUUGAAGACUUUGACUUGUGGUUCUACACCCUAAAUUCUAGAAGGCGCCCUUUAUUUCCACUAUAACGCCAAAUUCUACGCGGUAAGUUGACUUGUGGUUCUACACCCUAAAUUCUACGAGGCGUCCUUCUUUUUUCCACUUUAACGUUCACACAAUACACAAUGAUAAGAGAUUUUUCAAUUUAUCAGAACAUAGUCUGGGACACCGUACACCACUUAUAAAACAGUUUCAAGAGGGCUAGUUUGAAAAUAUCCUAUUGCAAAAUUUGAUUUAGAUGAAAACCAGCAACAGUGCCUGCGCGUGUUGUUGCGGGUGUCUAAAAUAUUUUGAUAAUAUGUACAUAGAAAACAUAAUUUAUUGAAGCUAGAUUUCUAUACUUAAGAUAGAGGUUGGCAGUGUUCAUAAUUAUCAAAAGAUUGGGAGUGUCCAAUUGCUCACUGUUCAAAAGAUAGAGAUGCUAUAAAAACUAAAUUCAUGUACAUAAGUUCAUAGUAUCAUGUACUCACAAUAAUCAUAGUAUCAAAAUAUUGGCAGUCUUCAACCACUCAUCGUUCAAAUACGAAAAUAUACAUAUAUCCAUAUCAAAAGGUUGGCAUCGCACAUCUGGUUUGUGUUUAUGAUUUUUCCUGUUCAAUCUCUGGUCUUGCUUGUUUGGGAAUGACCAUCCUUUUUCUUGGCCACCAUGUUGUUGAAUUGGUGCCUAUUCUUUUUUGCUUUGCCCAAGAUUUUGCUAUUGCUAUACAUUACGAAUUGGAAUCAGUAAGAAUUCAAUAUAAAAAAGUAAAUUUGUCAAUCUAUUUAACUUAGUGCGAACUUCAUCAAACAACCAACAAGUAUAAUCCAGCAAGGUUAUUUUCAUUUUCUUUUUUUAAUCAAAAUGAAUUCUAUUGUUCCCAUAUAUUUGCAAAUCCCUUUAAAUUAUCCAAAAACACAAAAGAAAUAUAUCUUGAUCCAUACCAAUUAAUGAUUUCCCAUUUACUUUAGUCAAAUGUCAGAGCCAAUGAAGGAACUGAUGAAGGAGCUAAAAAAGAGAGACAAAAAAAAAUCUCUAUUAUUCAAUUAUAUAGAGAAUUACUUGAUUGUACAAAAGGUUUGAAAAUUACUGUAAAAAUAAAAUUUCAAAAAAAAAAAAAAAAGAUGAGAUGAGAUGGAGUAGAAAUCACAUAACAGCAUUAGACUUAAAUUUGUAGUGCUUAUAUGAGAGAGUAGUGAUAGUGCUGAUGAGAAUGUAGGGAGAGAAACAAAAUGCAAAUCGUAAGAGUGAGAGAAAAACCGCUUGAGGGACACUGCAAAUUGAUCGAUGAGAUUUGAGAAACCACUAUUUUAUUUCUUGGUGGAUAAUUGGAAAUGUUAGUUUUAAGUCGUUCUUGGUGGAUGUUUGAUUUUUGGGUGUGUGGAGUUUUCGAAUUAUAAUUAGUUUUUUAUAGGUAUGUGAUUUGAGAAACCUUUAAUAUUUAUUUUCUCAUUCUUAUUUAUUUAAGGGCAAAUUUGAAAGUUUAGUCAAGAAAAUUUGUUAGUUGGGUGUAGAGAUAUAAAGGAUGGGUUCAAAUAAAAUUUCUCUAAAAUAAAUAAUGUGAAAGGAGAUGAUCAAAAAAGAAGUGAGAGAAUCAUAGUCUAUUUUUUACAGUUUACAUGCGUCCGUGACUUUUUUUGCCUUUUUCUUGGUUGUUGUGCCGAGACUGCCCUCCAGCUGGAAAUAAGGAGGAGACAGAUAAAUAAGAACUGCCACUAGGUUGGUGAAACAGUGUCGAGCAUUUUCAUUGGACGGAGGACUAUGCAUGUUGGGUUGGAUCGCCAAAUGGCUGGAAAAUUUUUAUAACCAAGCGGACAUAUUUUUGUUCUUUUCCUCUGAUGUUCAACUGCAAGUAGAAAUUCUGUUAGUUUAAAGGAUUUAAGGAUUAAGUGCAUUUUUUCAAAGAGGAUUAGCUUGGACGGAAUAACUAAGCAUCUGUAAAGGAGGAGUUCAAAUGUCAACAUCAGCAAUAACAAGAAAAAAAUACGGUAUUAGUGUUAGCAACUUCAAAUUUUUUUUUUUACAAUCAAUAUUAUGCCUUACAAUAAGCUAACAAUAAUAUAGUUCAAACUUUUAUUCUUACUUUUUGUUCUAAAUACUUAUUACAAUCAUGAAAAAUAAAUAAUGUAAUAAACAGUGGUUUAAAUUUGACAUAUCAAACAGAGAAUAAAAUUUUAAAAAAAAAUUAAAGUGUUACACUAACUUUCAAAUUUAAAUUUUAUAUUUGAAAUUUGAAAUCUACUUUGGAAAUGAACAAAUCGGUUGUUUUUUAUUAUAGAUUUCUUUAUAGAUAAUGUUGGUGGUCUUAGAAAAUUUUAUUAACAUGAAAAAAAAUAGUAUACUUAAUCUAUGGACAUAAACCUUUAACCCUUAAUUUGGUCCAAGAUAUUAUUAGAGAAUUCCCACUUGGUUUGGUCCCGUAUAAUUUUGUUUUCCCUGCUAGCAAUAUUUUGAAUUCCAACUAUCUAUAGUUUUGUUGGAAUAAUUUCACAAGUCAUAAUCUAAUCUAUUCUAUUAAGAGAAGAGGGCUUAUCAACUUUUUGCUCAUUUUUCUUCUAAUUUUGUCCUCACUUUUGAUAUAUAAUGUUUACAACAAGGAAGGCAAAAUAGUAAUUUUGUAUCUUUUGACAAAAUAACAAUCAUAUGCCUAUUUUACCUUUUUUCUAGAAAAUGACAAUCAUAUACUUAUGUUUUCAAUUUUACCCUCACUUUUUAUACACAAUAUUUACAUAAGAAUGACAAAAUAGGAAAAAAGGGGAAAAAAAGUUGACAAGGAGGCUUCUCUUAAUAACAUUUUUGAUACAUAAGGAGGACAAGCCAUCAUUUUUUCAUACAGGUAAGUUAAAUAAUUAUGUUUUUCGGAUAAUUUGAAUGAACUGAAGCGGUUGCGCUUGAGAAGAAUGUAAGAGGAGGUGUGUGGUUGUUCACACACACAAAGUGUGUACUCUAUGUAGUACAAAAUUAAGAAUACCAACUAUGCUUUUGUUUUAAUUUUUUUGGCUAAAAAAAAUCAAAAAAUCAAAAUCAAAGAAAAUGAUAGGAAAGAGCAACAACUUGCAUAUGUAUAGUUUAUAAGGAAAACUAAUGAAAAUAGCUUGAAAAUUUUGAGUUUUAACAAUAAAGACAAAAUAAAGGGUAAAGUAAAUAAUAUCAGGAUUGACUUUUUAGUGUAAAAAUAUGGUUUUUCGUUAAAAUUAACAAUACUGAAAACUUUUCGUUAAAUUUCCCUAUUUUAUAUGCUUUUAAUUAUUUUUAUGAGUUUGUGUUUGUACCAAGACAACUAUGUAUUUUAGGAAAACUAAUGAAAAUGAUUUGAAAAGCUUGAGUUUUAACGAUAAAGACAAAAUAAAGGGUAAAAUUAAUAGUAUCAGGAUUAACUUUUUAGUGUAAAAAUUGUGGUUUUUCGUUAAAGUGUACAGUACCGAGAGCUUUUCGUUAAAGUUCCCUAGUUUAUAUGCUUUUAAUUAUUUUUAUGAGUUCAUGUUUAUACCAAGACAACUGUCAAUUUAAGAUUUAGUAUUGAAUGGCUCCAUAGUAAAUAUCACAACUUUCCGAAUAUCCAGCAUCAGGUGGGUCUGAAGAAUUGCAUAGCUUGGGGGUAUCAUCUUGAGGACCCAUAUCAUCUGGAUCAGACCAAGGCCGAUGCCCACCGUACAUAUGGCGCAUAUGCCACACUUCGGCUGGAGGGUGGAGUUUUAACACUCAAAGUAACAGACCACUAGCAUCUGCACCUAUAGGCCAAGGCAUAUUCUAUAUAGCCCAUCGAAAAAAGUGAAAUCAAGUUGUAACUAUGAGAUUUCAGGUUGUGAUUGACAUUAACAAAUUAAGUAAAACGAAUGUGUAGAAUUUUAAGCAACCACUUAACAAGAAAGUUAAUCCUUUGAUUGAAUAAAGUUACAACCAUUGAGUUUAGCAUCAUUAUUAACAAGGAAGAAAAUAAACCAUGCAACUCCAUCAUCAUUCAUGAGUGGUAUUUAGGAAAUACAACUAUACUUGCAUAUGAGGGUCCUAAUUGUCAUGAAAAAAUUAGCAUGUACAUGAAAAUCUAUAUGCAUCUUGAAAAAAAAUAUAUUCUCACUCAUAUAUCCGUUUCAAAUUUAUAUAGACAAUAAUUAAAAGGCUUAAUUACUGGUGCACCUUUGAAAGUGGGAAAAAAAAUCUCACUUUGCCUCUUGAAACUUAUUUUGAUCAAAUUUACUUACUUUUUAAAAUAUGUAAACGUAUCUCAUUCUAUUGUAUACCGUUAGCUUCAUUAAAUUUUUCUUCAAUGUCACUCACGUUAACGUGUCAUCCAUGUGUCAAAAGAUAGAGUACCUUUUUGUCUCUUCCCGUUCUCCAACUUAAUACAAGUUAGUUAUUCUCCUUCACUUCUUUAGCUCAUUUCACUCUCCCCCUCUCUCUCUCACUGAUUUCUAUCUCUUGGUCUUAUUGACUUUUGGCUAAAUAAUGUUAAAAAAAUAUGAGUUUUCACCUUUUUUAUAAUUUGUGAUUCUCUUUUCCAUGUGUAGGUGAGAGAGUAAUGUUUAACUCAAAAUUUACCCUCAUUUUUAAUACACAAAAUGGUUGGACACUAACACCUCCACCGAAGUUAACAGCUUCCCUAAGCUCGACCAGGUAUCCAUUUCCUUCAUUUUCUUUAGGCAAAUUGAAGGUUUUUGGCGUUCUCCGAAAAAAAAAAAAAAAUUGAAGGUUUUUGGCGAUAUUUAUUUUCCUUUUUUCCUGCCGGAACUACUUUCUUCUUCUGAUAAUUAAUAAACCUGUCAACUCUAUGCCAAUAAUGCAGUUAGGAUUGCACAUGGGCGACCGACAACUCAUCAGGACCCCAUUUCCCUCAGCCUUUUCCUUUUAUCUUUACAUUUUUCUUCAUUUUUGGCAAGUUUCCUUUAAUUUUGGUC
rnacentral:lncRNA from 1 species